rnacentral:ncRNA from 1 species
AAAAAAGAAUACAAUUACUUCAUAUAAUAGCAGAGAUAGGGUCUGUGAGUUUCUACCGGAUUACCGUAAAUAAUCCGACUAUGAGCAAAUAGG